GAGGCAGAGGGGGGCCAUCCCAGGCCCUCCCAGCCACCUCAAUUUAUGACAUCUUAUCAGGGGCCAUGGUGGUAGGCCUUACUGCGCAUGUGGUGUAAUUAAUUUCUCAAGGAUGGCUUGAUUUAGCACAACUUCUUAUCACGACAUACAGUUGGCCACUCAGGAUAUGACCUUGGGAUGAUGUAACUUGAUGUGACCUGACAAGAUUGCGUGGCAAUCAUGCUUGGCAUUUAGCUGCUCGAUCGAUGCCAGUGCCUUGGGAUCCUAGCUCAUGAGUGGGAACCAUGGUCGGUAGAAAGAUGUAAACCUGGAGUCGAGAUUGGGCCCGGCAUGGGUCGAAGAGAGAGGAUCCAUAAAUCGACUGAAUGAAUCUGUUGAAUGUUGCUGCCUAGUUGGCCUAGGGUGACCGAUUGCUGAGGGGAGAGCUCACCAGAAGUCAGUCAGUGGAGUCUCGACCGCUUAGGCAAUGGGGCGUCGAUCGAUUUUUCGAGAGCCGAGAGUCAAUCAGUUGCGAGAGUAGCUAAAGAGGGGUCGGCGAUGAUGAGAGACCUCAAUUUGCUGGGCCUAGAUUUUUUGGGCCUCGGGCCUCUUCACAUUAUCGUCCGAAUGAAAAUUUCUCCCAACAUAUGCCCUCUACUCUCGAGUCCGAAUUUUGAUCGGGG
rnacentral:lncRNA from 1 species